rnacentral:rRNA from 1 species
GAGUUUGAUCCUGGCUCAGAUUGAACGCUGGCGGCAGGCCUAACACAUGCAAGUCGAGCGGUAGAGAGAAGCUUGCUUCUCUUGAGAGCGGCGGACGGGUGAGUAAUGCCUAGGAAUCUGCCUGGUAGUGGGGGAUAACGCUCGGAAACGGACGCUAAUACCGCAUACGUCCUACGGGAGAAAGCAGGGGACCUUCGGGCCUUGCGCUAUCAGAUGAGCCUAGGUCGGAUUAGCUAGUUGGUGAGGUAAUGGCUCACCAAGGCGACGAUCCGUAACUGGUCUGAGAGGAUGAUCAGUCACACUGGAACUGAGACACGGUCCAGACUCCUACGGGAGGCAGCAGUGGGGAAUAUUGGACAAUGGGCGAAAGCCUGAUCCAGCCAUGCCGCGUGUGUGAAGAAGGUCUUCGGAUUGUAAAGCACUUUAAGUUGGGAGGAAGGGCAGUAAAUUAAUAACUUUGCUGUUUUGACGUUACCGACAGAAUAAGCACCGGCUAACUCUGUGCCAGCCGCC